ACUUUGCCUUCAGAGGCAUAUUUUUGGUAUAAAUGCGCAGACUCACGAGAACGAGUGGCGAAGCCACAAGUUUAGCGUAAAAGAAGUGAGCUUUUAAGGGGGUCUCUGAAAUGGCAUUUCCAGAGUUCUGAGAACAGAAUUCGCAAAAUCUUUGGCCAUUUUGCGUGGAUUACAGUUUAAUAUAUUUUCAAGUACACACUUUUCAAUUUACAAGGGCACAUUCACCUUUUACAAGGAC